AUUGAACGCUGGUGGCAUGCUUAACACAUGCAAGUCGGACGGCAGCAUGGUUCGUAGCAAUACGAAUUGAUGGCGAGUGGCGAACGGGUGAGUAAUGCAUAGGAAUCUGCCUAGAGGAGGGGGAUAGCUCAGGGAAACUUGAGGUAAUACCGCGUAAGACCGUAAGGUGAAAGGGGGGGAGUUUACUCCUCUCGUCUUUAGAUGAGCCUAUGUUGGAUUAGCUAGUAGGUGAGGUAAGAGCUCGACCUAGGCGACGAUCCAUAGCUGUUCUGAGCGGAGGGACAGCCACACUUGGACUGAGACACGGCCCAGACUCCUACGGGCGGCAGCAGUGGGGAAUAUUGGACAAUGGGGGCAACCCUGAUCCAGCGAUGCCACGUGUGCGAAGAAGGCCUUCGGGUUGUAAAGCACUUUAGUGAGGGAGGAAGGCGAUAUGGCGAAUACCCGUAUUGAUUGACAGUACCUCAAGAAUAAGCACCGGCAAACUCUGUGCCAGCCGCCGCGGUAA
rnacentral:rRNA from 1 species